rnacentral:lncRNA from 1 species
UACCGUAGGCUUCAACGCCCUCUAAAUACACCCUUGCAAAUUCUACAAAGAGAGUGUUUCAUAACUGCUCUAUAGGAAGAAAGGUUCAACUCUGUGAGUUGAAUGCAGAGAUCACAACGUGGUUUCUGCGAAUGAUUCUUUGUAGUUUUUACAUGAAGAUAUUUCGUUGUCUACCAUAGGCUUCAAAGCACUCAAAGUAUUCACUUGGAAAUUUUACAAAAACAGUGUUAGAAAACUGCUCUUUCCAAAGUAAGGUUCAAC